UAAAUGGAGAUAGGGGCAAGCCUAAGGGUGAGGUGGCCAAGAACACCCCAAAAAAACCAAGCGUGGAACUUGCCCUAACCACAAACUGAGGAGAAAAUGAAGAUUUUCCUCUUUCCUUGUUUUCCCUAUCAGCAGACAUUUGGAGUCUAAUCUUUGGAGAUACAAGAGUAGCUUCAGCUAUUAGAGUGAUAGUGAAUUUGGUACAAAAACCCUUAUUUGGAAGUUGUUC
rnacentral:lncRNA from 10 species